rnacentral:rRNA from 1 species
UACGGAGGGUCCGAGCGUUAAUCGGAAUUACUGGGCGUAAAGCGUGCGCAGGCGGUUUGUUAAGCGAGAUGUGAAAGCCCCGGGCUCAACCUGGGAAUUGCAUUUCGAACUGGCAAACUAGAGUCUUGUAGAGGGGGGUAGGAACUCCAGGUGUAGCGGUGAAAUGCGUAGAGAUCUGGAGGAAUACCGGUGGCGAAGGCGGCCCCUCGGACAAAGACUGACGCUCAGGCACGAAAGCGUGGGGAGCAAACAGGAUUAGAUACCCCCGUAGU